AAUCCCCGUUCGUCACCCCGACGGCUGCGAGGCAGAGAGCGGACCCUGAGCUCGAAGCCGUGCGCCUUCCUCACUGCUCCCUGUUCUUGCUCACACAGACACAAACGAUUAACCACGUUUCAUCUACGCUUAAUCUCCCUACCACAGCUGAAGCCAGUAUAAUAUAAAUAUAUGUCGUGAUAUUGAUUUUUUGCCUGAAGCCUCAGUUUACAUUUUUUGUUAUAUUUGUAGAAAUUUUUGAACCAAUUCUAAGAGCUGAUGCCAAUUAUUGAUGUGCCACUGUAACCUGAUUAAGUUUCCGGAAAAUGUAGAUUCGAUUUGGCAAAUAAAGGUUAGAUUAGAUAUUAAACCUAUCAUGGAGUGCACGUGCUGCAUGUGCAAGCGCAAAGGUGCCAGCGAUUCAAAUCGAGUUGGGCCCACAUGUGCCUGGAAAUUUUUUAGCUCCGCCUUCAAAAUUUGAGCGUCCCGCCCAUCUCCCCGUUUCAAUUCUUCCACUUUGAAUUAGAUCCCCCGCCACCACAGCCUGAAGCACCCAAAUCCAUGAGAUUUGCCCUAGGUCUAUUACUGGAUAGCAAGUGCUAGUUCCAUCAGGGGUCCCAGGUGCCUAGGUUGGAUAUCCAGACGACCUAAUCGUGAGGAAGUUUUAGGAUUCAGCCCCUUCCCCUCCCAUUUCUUGGUGUUCUGAUGCGAUUCAGGGUGCUGCUUCCCGUGAACCUAGUGGCAGGAGCAGUAGUAGUAUUUGGACCAGAGCCCCGAGAUGCCUGAGUCCAGGGACGGCAGGAGUGAGGACCUAGCUGACCUUUCUGGUGGUGUUGGUGGUGGAGGGUUCUUUAUCAGGAGGGUGGCCUCGCCGGGAGCCCUAGCGGUGAGGGGUGUCAGGAAGCCGUUGGCGCGGCGUUAUAUUUCACCCUCGAGGAACAAGGAGAACCUGCUGCCGGUUUGGGCGUUGAGGGUCACACCGACAAAGAGGAGCCCGCUUCCUGGAUGGUACCCCAGGACGCCGCUCCGUGAUAUUACGGCCAUUGCAAAGGCUAUUCAGAGAAGUCGUUCAAGGAUUGCUGCAGCUCAGCAGCGAAGCCAAAGGAUCGAGCAGUCUUCACAAUCUGUGAACGUGACUACUCCAGCACAAGCAGAGCAGGAUGCUCACAUUGCUGAAGCCUCCCAUGCUGUUGCAUCUGGCUCCGGCUCAACUGAAAGAGAAGCUGUAGCAAACCCUGCUACUGUUUUGGCUGAUGACAAUUUGAAUGUGUCUUCUUUGGCAGCAGAAGGCUCAUUGAAUACUCCAUCCAAACCAAUGGAUCCUGCCCUUGCUGACAAGAAACUUUCCGGUUCAAUAGAGAAGGUAGAGAAGUUGGUGAGGAAAAACCUGAAGCGAACAUCGAGGGCUGCCCAGGCCUCCAGGAGGGCCACCCAAAGGCGCAAUCUUAUGUCCAUGCGAUGAAUUUAUUGCUGUACUUUGCUGGGGGAAGAGAAAGUCCACCUCAGGCUUGUCCUCCUUCCUCUUGUCUGUGCUGCUCUUCUUCCAAUACUUGCCGUGGCGUGAUGCUCACGGUCAUUCCUUGUUCCCUUCUCGAGGACAAGAAUAUGGAAGCCAUUGGCUCUCUGCUUGAGGUUCUAGGACUGCAGCUACUAGUGUGAGGUGUGAUCUGGUUCAUGCUAUUGCUGAUGUAUGCAUACUUUUCUGUGUAUCCCUGUGGGCCGUUGAACAAAUAAAUCUUUAAUUUACUUUUCUGCCGCACUAAGCCACUAAUACCAUAACCACUAGUGUAUGAAUAUUUUCUGUUGUGGCCGCUUGUAUUAUAUGAACUUCAAUAUGUAAGCCAGUCGGCACCAUGAGAAAUUUAGCAUAGUAUCUAUGCAUGACAUAGGUGUUUGGUCAUGAUCUCUAAGCUCCUAGUGUCAGAUGCUUUUUACAACCUUGUUCGUCAGGAGUAAGGUCCAUAACCGAACUACAAACAUGUGCAUUCUAGGCUGGUAGCCCUUGUACAACAGAAGCUCAAUGGCACCAACGAGGACUGAGAAUCCUGACCAAUUCACCUUCCUGUCGUGCACAUGAUAGCUCAGAAGAUCGACGGGACAUCAGGAAGCACAGCAAAUGAUGGGCCGUGCUGUUAUGACUUAAAAGGGAAGACCAGAGCAAGCAAUCGCUUGCAGAACAAAACAUUCAGUUUUGCAAUUUGAAACAUAGCCCGGUUGUUUUUCUCAUGUCCCCGUCAGGACUCAGGAGGUAACAGAAGCCCAUUUAAAUUAGAGGAAAAACAUCCGAAUACCGUUAAUAUGAUCUAUCACUAAACUA